AAAGGUGGCUUCGGCUACCACUUACAGAUGGACCCGCGGCGCAUUAGCUAGUUGGUGAGGUAACGGCUCACCAAGGCGACGAUGCGUAGCCGACCUGAGAGGGUGAUCGGCCACACUGGGACUGAGACACGGCCCAGACUCCUACGGGAGGCAGCAGUAGGGAAUCUUCCGCAAUGGACGAAAGUCUGACGGAGCAACGCCGCGUGAGUGAUGAAGGUUUUCGGAUCGUAAAGCUCUGUUGUUAGGGAAGAACAAGUGCCGUUCAAAUAGGGUUGUACCUUGACGGUACCUAACCAGAAAGCCACGGCUAACUACGUGCCAGCAGCCGCGGUAAUACG
rnacentral:rRNA from 1 species